rnacentral:rRNA from 1 species
CCUACGGGAGGCAGCAGUGAGGAAUAUUGGUCAAUGGGCGCAAGCCUGAGCCAGCCAUGCCGCGUGCAGGAAGAAUGCCCUACGGGUUGUAAACUGCUUUUAUUUGGGAAUAAACCUUUCUACGUGUAGAAAGCUGAAGGUACCAAUUGAAUAAGCACCGGCUAACUCCGUGCCAGCAGCCGCGGUAAUACGGAGGGUGCAAGCGUUAUCCGGAAUCAUUGGGUUUAAAGGGUCCGCAGGCGGACCUAUAAGUCAGUGGUGAAAGCCUACAGCUUAACUGUAGAACUGCCAUUGAAACUGUAGGUCUUGAAUUCGGUCGAAGUGGGCGGAAUGUGUAGUGUAGCGGUGAAAUGCAUAGAUAUUACACAGAACACCGAUGGCGAAGGCAGCUCACUAGGCCUGGAUUGACGCUCAGGGACGAAAGCGUGGGGAUCAAACAGGAUUAGAUACCCUGGUAGUCCACGCCGUAAACCUAUGAUUACUCGUUUUCGGCGAUAUACAGUCGGAGACUAAGCGAAAGUGAUAAGUAAUCCACCUGGGGAGUACGAUCGCAAGGUUGAAACUUAAAGGAAUUGACGG